rnacentral:miRNA from 1 species
AAGAGCGCUUGUAGUGAGUUGU